UUUAUAUGAGAGUUUGAUCCUGGCUCAGGAUGAACGCCGGCGGUGUGCCUAAUACAUGCAAGUCGAACGCGUUGGCCCAAUUGAUUGAUGGUGCUUGCACCUGAUUGAUUUUGGUCGCCAACGAGUGGCGGACGGGUGAGUAACACGUAGGUAACCUGCCCAGAAGCGGGGGACAACAUUUGGAAACAGAUGCUAAUACCGCAUAACAGCGUUGUUCGCAUGAACAACGCUUAAAAGAUGGCUUCUCGCUAUCACUUCUGGAUGGACCUGCGGUGCAUUAGCUUGUUGGUGGGGUAACGGCCUACCAAGGCGAUGAUGCAUAGCCGAGUUGAGAGACUGAUCGGCCACAAUGGGACUGAGACACGGCCCAUACUCCUACGGGAGGCAGCAGUAGGGAAUCUUCCACAAUGGGCGCAAGCCUGAUGGAGCAACACCGCGUGAGUGAAGAAGGGUUUCGGCUCGUAAAGCUCUGUUGUUAAAGAAGAACACGUAUGAGAGUAACUGUUCAUACGUUGACGGUAUUUAACCAGAAAGUCACGGCUAACUACGUGCCAGCAGCCGCGGUAAUACGUAGGUGGCAAGCGUUAUCCGGAUUUAUUGGGCGUAAAGAGAGUGCAGGCGGUUUUCUAAGUCUGAUGUGAAAGCCUUCGGCUUAACCGGAGAAGUGCAUCGGAAACUGGAUAACUUGAGUGCAGAAGAGGGUAGUGGAACUCCAUGUGUAGCGGUGGAAUGCGUAGAUAUAUGGAAGAACACCAGUGGCGAAGGCGGCUACCUGGUCUGCAACUGACGCUGAGACUCGAAAGCAUGGGUAGCGAACAGGAUUAGAUACCCUGGUAGUCCAUGCCGUAAACGAUGAGUGCUAGGUGUUGGAGGGUUUCCGCCCUUCAGUGCCGGAGCUAACGCAUUAAGCACUCCGCCUGGGGAGUACGACCGCAAGGUUGAAACUCAAAGGAAUUGACGGGGGCCCGCACAAGCGGUGGAGCAUGUGGUUUAAUUCGAAGCAACGCGAAGAACCUUACCAGGUCUUGACAUCUUGCGCCAACCCUAGAGAUAGGGCGUUUCCUUCGGGAACGCAAUGACAGGUGGUGCAUGGUCGUCGUCAGCUCGUGUCGUGAGAUGUUGGGUUAAGUCCCGCAACGAGCGCAACCCUUGUUACUAGUUGCCAGCAUUAAGUUGGGCACUCUAGUGAGACUGCCGGUGACAAACCGGAGGAAGGUGGGGACGACGUCAGAUCAUCAUGCCCCUUAUGACCUGGGCUACACACGUGCUACAAUGGACGGUACAACGAGUCGCGAACUCGCGAGGGCAAGCAAAUCUCUUAAAACCGUUCUCAGUUCGGACUGCAGGCUGCAACUCGCCUGCACGAAGUCGGAAUCGCUAGUAAUCGCGGAUCAGCAUGCCGCGGUGAAUACGUUCCCGGGCCUUGUACACACCGCCCGUCACACCAUGAGAGUUUGUAACACCCAAAGCCGGUGGGGUAACCGCAAGGAGCCAGCCGUCUAAGGUGGGACAGAUGAUUGGGGUGAAGUCGUAACAAGGUAGCCGUAGGAGAACCUGCGNAUGAUUAGGGUGAAGUCGUAACAAGGUAGCCGUAGGAGAACCUGCGGCUGGAUCACCUCCUUUCUA
rnacentral:rRNA from 1 species